rnacentral:rRNA from 1 species
AUGCAAGCUAAAGGCGGUAGCCACGGCGUAUCCUCAAACACCCCCCUCCACAGUCCCCCACCCGCCCCCUCCCCCACUCGAACCCUAGCUCGCGGCCGCCGCCGGCACCGCCGCCAACCCCUAUCCACAUCUCCUGCUCCAGAAUGUCGCAGCCUAAGCUCGACCACGUAUCCCGGGGAGCCCGACGAGCGUUCGGCCAAGAAGAGGUUUAUCAUGGCCUCUCUGGCGGACGUUGGCGAGGUGGCCGCCGUUCACCCUGACUUGUCGAUCCCGGAGCAACACGUUGCCGUGGAAGCCGGCGAAGACGUUGACUACGUUGCCAUGCCGAAGGCUUCAUGUCAGCGGGCUAGCGUAUUACUGUAUCUUGGGAAAGCUGGCUACAACAUCAAGCUCGUCCACAGCGAUGGCUUCACGCGGGUCGUGUCACAGGUUAAGUGGUCCAUCCCUAACCCCUCUGGUUCAACAGCCGUUGAUCUCUUCAACGGCCCUGGCGCUGAUGUCCUCCGCCAAGACACGUUCUAUGGCGGCGGCUUGGGAUCCUCAAUUGCCAAGUCAGAUCUCAUCGACCAUGACCACGACCAUGAGGUGGGCACCCACAAAGGUUCUUCCAAGGUGAAACAACCCAUCUGUGACAUCAGAGAGCGCACCAUGGGUCUGUGCUCUUCCAACUGGAAGGAUCUCGUCCAUGAAAUGUUGGUUGCAGUGAGCAUUUGUCCAGUUUUCAAGCAUAUGCCGUUGGUUGCACGUCUUUUCCCGGCGACCGCCGGAGUUGAAUUGGGCGAGGGUCCCGUCUCCUGUAUAGCUGUAUUUGUAGUUAAGGUCUUGAUAAAUCUGAUUUGGGUUGAGCUUUCCCUGGCGUCUCUCCUUCCAGAUCUGGCCGUGCAGACCGUCGGAGAGGGAGACAUGGCGGCGCCCAUCCCCCGCACGAUCGGGCGCGAUCCUUCGUUUCCUCUAUGCCGCAUCAUCCUACGGGGAAAGAUGGCCGUGUUCGUCCAGGCCAGCGCUCCCGGCCACCCGGCAGGAGGUCUAGGUUGCCUUUGCCGAUGCAUCAACCUGCGGGCGCUCCGCUGGCGCGGCGUGCCCAAUGCAGGCCAAUUACCUGAUGGGAGACAACCAGACGGGGAGAACGAUUGCUUGAAGAGCCUUAGGCAGUCUGCUCUCACAAGGAAAUGCAAAGGUAAUUUCACAAGAGAAGUGGUGAUGGCGAGGCUCUGCCACGGCAACCUUGUUCGCCUCCUUGCGUACUACAAUGAAGGAGACAAAUUGUGCAUAUGUGGAGAAGCAUGUAUGAUUGCCCUCAGGUUUAGAACAUAUUGCAUAACAAGCCAUUCUCCUUGGCAACCGACCUAG